AUUAAGGGAUCGAAUGCUAAGAACGCCGCGUCCUGCGGCAACGCAUUCGUGACCCGCAUCACGCGGG
rnacentral:sRNA from 1 species